rnacentral:rRNA from 1 species
UACGUAGGGUGCGAGCGUUGUCCGGAAUUAUUGGGCGUAAAGGGCUCGUAGGCGGUCUGUCGCGUCGGGAGUGAAAACUCGGGGCUUAACUCCGAGCCUGCUUCUGAUACGGGCAGACUAGAGGUAUGCAGGGGAGAAUGGAAUUCCUGGUGUAGCGGUGAAAUGCGCAGAUAUCAGGAGGAACACUGGUGGCGAAGGCGGUUCUCUGGGCAUGACCUGACGCUGAGGAGCGAAAGUGUGGGGAGCGAACAGG